rnacentral:rRNA from 1 species
AUUGAACGCUGGCGGCAGGCUUAACACAUGCAAGUCGAGCGGUAGCACAGGGGAGCUUGCUCCCUGGGUGACGAGCGGCGGACGGGUGAGUAAUGUCUGGGAAACUGCCUGAUGGAGGGGGAUAACUACUGGAAACGGUAGCUAAUACCGCAUAACGUCGCAAGACCAAAGAGGGGGACCUUCGGGCCUCUUGCCAUCAGAUGUGCCCAGAUGGGAUUAGCUAGUAGGUGGGGGUAAUGGCUCACCUAGGCGACGAUCCCUAGCUGGUCUGAGAGGAUGACCAGCCACACUGGAACUGAGACACGGUCCAGACUCCUACGGGAGGCAGCAGUGGGGAAUCUUAGACAAUGGGGGCAACCCUGAUCUAGCAAUACCGCGUGUGUGAAGAAGGCCCUAGGGUUGUAAAAGCACUUUUGUCUAGGGAGAAUGGCAUCUAUAGAUAAUACCUACAGAUGCUGA